rnacentral:rRNA from 1 species
AACGAACGCUGGCGGCAGGCCUAACACAUGCAAGUCGAGCGAGGACUUCGGUUCUAGCGGCGGACGGGUGAGUAACGCGUGGGAAUGUGCCCUUCUCUACGGAAUAGCCCUGGGAAACUGGGAGUAAUACCGUAUACGCCCUAUUGGGGAAAGAUUUAUCGGAGAAGGAUCAGCCCGCGUUGGAUUAGGUAGUUGGUGGGGUAAUGGCCUACCAAGCCGACGAUCCAUAGCUGGUUUGAGAGGAUGAUCAGCCACACUGGGACUGAGACACGGCCCAGACUCCUACGGGAGGCAGCAGUGGGGAAUCUUAGACAAUGGGGGCAACCCUGAUCUAGCCAUGCCGCGCGAGUGAUGAAGGCCUUAGGGUUGUAAAGCUCUUUCAGCUGGGAAGAUAAUGACGGUACCAGCAGAAGAAGCCCCGGCUAACUCCGUG